rnacentral:rRNA from 1 species
UACGGGGGGGGCAAGCGUUGUUCGGAAUUACUGGGCGUAAAGGGCUCGUAGGCGGCCAACUAAGUCAGACGUGAAAUCCCCAGGCUCAACCUGGGAACUGCAUUUGAUACUGUUAGGCUUGAGACCGGGAGAGGAUAGCGGAAUUCCCAGUGUAGAGGUGAAAUUCGUAGAUAUUGGGAAGAACACCAGUGGCGAAGGCGGCUAUCUGGACCGGUACUGACGCUGAGGUGCGAAAGCGUGGGGAGCAAACAGG